UACCUACUAAAGCGGUAUCUAUAUAAGGCUAGUGAAGUAGGUUUAUAAGUCUUAUACUCAUCUAGAAGUUUCUUCAUUGUAUUUCAAGUCAGGAGGAGAAGUUAUAUCUAUGGCUCAUAAGCCAUGAGGGUAUUAUUAUUUAUUACAUCGAUUUUAGUAAUUGUUCCUUGGGCAAAUACACUACCACUGAGGCUCUGUAAAUUUAUAUGCCCACGUGCAUACCAGCCUGUUUGCAGCAGAGAUGGAAGUACUUAUCGCAACUUAUGUGUCAUGAAAUGUCGCGGUAGAGAAUUUUUUCACCGAGGAUUCUGCGAUAAUCAUCAUCGCCCUCCUGGUUUGCCUGAUAACAAUCAUAAUUCUACUACUACUACUACUGAGAAGCAGUAAACAGCAAGGAGAAUUCAUCAUGAAGCAAAUAAGUCAGACACUUUAAGUUAGACAUAUUGACACGGAUGACCAUGUUAUAUUCUAAUUAAAUUCAAAACUAUUAAUUCCAAUAAAUAAAUGAGGCAUUUAAACAUUA